GAUGAACGCUGGCGGCGUGCCUAACACAUGCAAGUCGAGCGAAGCACUUACUUUAGAUUUCUUCGGAAUGACGAAGUUUGUGACUGAGCGGCGGACGGGUGAGUAACGCGUGGGCAACCUGCCCUGUACAGGGGGAUAACAGUUAGAAAUGACUGCUAAUACCGCAUAAGCCCACAGCUUCGCAUGAAGCAGUGGGAAAAACUCCGGUGGUACAGGAUGGGCCCGCGUCUGAUUAGCUAGUUGGUAAGGUAACGGCUUACCAAGGCGACGAUCAGUAGCCGACCUGAGAGGGUGACCGGCCACAUUGGGACUGAGACACGGCCCAAACUCCUACGGGAGGCAGCAGUGGGGAAUAUUGCACAAUGGGGGAAACCCUGAUGCAGCGACGCCGCGUGAGCGAUGAAGUAUUUCGGUAUGUAAAGCUCUAUCAGCAGGGAAGAAAGUGAUGGUACCUGACUAAGAAGCCCCGGCUAACUACGUG
rnacentral:rRNA from 1 species